rnacentral:rRNA from 1 species
UAGAGUUUGAUCCUGGCUCAGAUUGAACGCUGGCGGCAGGCCUAACACAUGCAAGUCGAGCGGUAACAGGAAUUAGCUUGCUAAUUCGCUGACGAGCGGCGGACGGGUGAGUAAUGCCUGGGAAUAUGCCUUGAUGUGGGGGAUAACUAUUGGAAACGAUAGCUAAUACCGCAUAAUGUCUUCGGACCAAAGAGGGGGAUCUUCGGACCUCUCGCGUCAAGAUUAGCCCAGGUGAGAUUAGCUAGUUGGUGGGGUAAGAGCUCACCAAGGCGACGAUCUCUAGCUGGUCUGAGAGGAUGAUCAGCCACACUGGAACUGAGACACGGUCCAGACUCCUACGGGAGGCAGCAGUGGGGAAUAUUGCACAAUGGGCGAAAGCCUGAUGCAGCCAUGCCGCGUGUAUGAAGAAGGCCUUCGGGUUGUAAAGUACUUUCAGUCGUGAGGAAGGGUAUGUAGUUAAUAGCUGCAUAUCUUGACGUUAGCGACAGAAGAAGCACCGGCUAACUCCGUGCCAGCAGCCGCGGUAAUACGGAGGGUGCGAGCGUUAAUCGGAAUUACUGGGCGUAAAGCGCAUGCAGGUGGUUCAUUAAGUCAGAUGUGAAAGCCCGGGGCUCAACCUCGGAACCGCAUUUGAAACUGGUGGACUAGAGUGCUGUAGAGGGGGGUAGAAUUUCA